rnacentral:rRNA from 1 species
CCUAGGGAGGCAGCAGUGGGGAAUAUUGCACAAUGGGCGCAAGCCUGAUGCAGCCAUGCCGCGUGUGUGAAGAAGGCCUUCGGGUUGUAAAGCACUUUCAGCGGGGAGGAAGGCGGUGAGGUUAAUAACCUCAUCGAUUGACGUUACCCGCAGAAGAAGCACCGGCUAACUCCGUGCCAGCAGCCGCGGUAA